rnacentral:misc_RNA from 1 species
GGAAGUAAAAGUCGUAACAAGGUUUCCGUAGGUGAACCUGCGGAAGGAUCAUUACUGAUUUGCUUAAUUGCACCACAUGUGUUUUUCUUUGAAACAAACUUGCUUUGGCGGUGGGCCCAGCCUGCCGCCAGAGGUCUAAACUUACAACCAAUUUUUUAUCAACUUGUCACACCAGAUUAUUACUAAUAGUCAAAACUUUCAACAACGGAUCUCUUGGUUCUCGCAUCGAUGAAGAACGCAGCGAAAUGCGAUACGUAAUAUGAAUUGCAGAUAUUCGUGAAUCAUCGAAUCUUUGAACGCACAUUGCGCCCUCUGGUAUUCCGGAGGGCAUGCCUGUUUGAGCGUCGUUUCUCCCUCAAACCGCUGGGUUUGGUGUUGAGCAAUACGACUUGGGUUUGCUUGAAAGACGGUAGUGGUAAGGCGGGAUCGCUUUGACAAUGGCUUAGGUCUAACCAAAAACAUUGCUUGCGGCGGUAACGUCCACCACGUAUAUCUUCAAACUUUGACCUCAAAUCAGGUAGGACUACCCGCUGAACUUAAGCAUAUCAAUAAGCGGAGGA